AGCUAAUACCGCAUAACGUCGCAAGACCAAAGAGGGGGACCUUCGGGCCUCUUGCCAUCGGAUGUGCCCAGAUGGGAUUAGCUAGUAGGUGGGGUAACGGCUCACCUAGGCGACGAUCCCUAGCUGGUCUGAGAGGAUGACCAGCCACACUGGAACUGAGACACGGUCCAGACUCCUACGGGAGGCAGCAGUGGGGAAUAUUGCACAAUGGGCGCAAGCCUGAUGCAGCCAUGCCGCGUGUAUGAAGAAGGCCUUCGGGUUGUAAAGUACUUUCAGCGGGGAGGAAGGGAGUAAAGUUAAUACCUUUGCUCAUUGACGUUACCCGCAGAAGAAGCACCGGCUAACUCCGUGCCAGCAGCCGCGGUAAUACGGAGGGUGCAAGCGUUAAUCGGAAUUACUGGGCGUAAAGCGCACGCAGGCGGUUUGUUAAGUCAGAUGUGAAAUCCCCGGGCUCAAC
rnacentral:rRNA from 1 species